rnacentral:rRNA from 1 species
AUUGAACGCUGGCGGCAGGCCUAACACAUGCAAGUCGAGCGGAUGAAGGGAGCUUGCUCCUGGAUUCAGCGGCGGACGGGUGAGUAAUGCCUAGGAAUCUGCCUGGUAGUGGGGGAUAACGUCCGGAAACGGGCGCUAAUACCGCAUACGUCCUGAGGGAGAAAGUGGGGGAUCUUCGGACCUCACGCUAUCAGAUGAGCCUAGGUCGGAUUAGCUAGUUGGUGGGGUAAAGGCCUACCAAGGCGACGAUCCGUAACUGGUCGGAGAGGAUGAUCAGUCACACUGGAGCGGAGACACGGUCCAGACUCCUACGGGAGGCAGCAGUGGGGAAUAUUGGACAAUGGUCGAAAGCCUGAUACAGCGAUGCCGCGUGUGUGAAGGAGGUCUUCGGAGUGUAAAGCACUUUAAGUUGGGAGGAAGGGCAGUAAGUUAAUACCUUGCUGUUUUGACGUUACCAACAGAAUAAGCACCGGCUAACUUCGUG